rnacentral:misc_RNA from 1 species
CCAAGAGUUUAUCCUCCGCUGUUGUGUUCUGCACCUAUUAAGUAUCAGUAUGCCAAUUACUCUAGUCCUAAGUAUAAAGACUCGGGAAAUGGGUCACUGAAGCUGCAACUGAUCAACCAGAGAUCAGACUUCUCUUUUGCGCUAUUUGCUGGUGGAUUUUUAAAUCCAAAGUUGGUGGCAGUGUCGAAUACAGUUGCCUUCUCAAAUCCAAAUGCACCUGUUUAUCCGCGCUUAGCACAAGGAAGAACAUGGAAUGAAAUGGCUAUAACAUGGACAAGUGGAUAUGGGAUCAAUGAAGCAGAACCUUUUAUUGAAUGGGCUCCUGAAGGAGGUGAUCCUAUUCAUUCCCCAGCCGGAACAUUGACUUUUGAUCAACGCAGCGUGUGUGGUGCACCAGCAAGGACAGUGGGA